rnacentral:rRNA from 1 species
ACAAAAACAUCUCCUUUUGACAUAUUUAAGGUACCGUCUGCUCAAUGCAAUUUGUAAAUAGCCGCAGUAUUCUGACUGUGCUAAGGUAGCAUAAUCAUUAGUCUUUUAAUUGGAGGCUGGUAUGAAUGACGAGACGAGAAAAUGACUGUCUCUAUAAUAAACUUUGAAUUUCAUUUCUGAGUGAAAAAGCUCAGAUAAUUUUGAAGGACGAUCAGACCCUUUGGAGCUUUAUUUACUUUAAAAAUUUGAAUUUGUUUUAAUUGAUUGAAUGGAAAGUAAAUUUUGUUGGGGCGACAGGGAGUAAAAUAUAACACUCUUUUUUUAAAACAAUCCUAAUUGGAAAAUUGAUCCUUAGAGUGAGAUUACAAGACUAAGUUACCCUAGGGAUAACAGCGUAAUCUUUUUGGAGAGUUCAAAUCGAUAAAAAGGUUUGCGACCUCGAUGUUGGAUUAAGAGAUUGGCAAGGUGCAGAAGAGACGCUGAAACU